rnacentral:rRNA from 1 species
CCCCUAGAUGUUCUGGGCCGCACGCGCGCUACACUGAACAGUUCAACAAGUCUUAACCUUGGCCGAUAGGUCUGGGUAAUCUUUGAACGCUGUUCGUGAUUGGGAUAGACCUUUGCAAUUAUGGGUCUUCAACGAGGAAUUCCUAGUAAACGCAAGUCAUCAGCUUGCAUUGAUUACGUCCCUGCCCUUUGUACACACCGCCCGUCGCACCUACCGAUUGAAUGGUCCGGUGAAGCCUCGGGAUUGUGGUUCUUGCCGCUUUAUUGUGGCGUGACCGCGAGAACUUGUCUAAACCUUAUCAUCUAGAGGAAGGUGAAGUCGUAACA